rnacentral:rRNA from 1 species
GACGAACGCUGGCGGCGUGCUUAACACAUGCAAGUCGAACGGAAAGGCCUGCUUUCCCUUGUGGAUUGCGGGUACUCGAGUGGCGAACGGGUGAGUAACACGUGAGUGAUCUGCCCCCAACUUGGGUAUAAGCCUGGGAAACUGGGUCUAAUUCCCGAUAGGACUGCAGGGUGGUGCCUGUGGUGGAAAACGAUUUUCUAGUGGUUGGGGAUGAGCUCGCGGCCUAUCAGCUUGUUGGGGGGGUAAUGGCCUACCAAGGCGGCGACGGGUAGCCGGCCUGAGAGGGUGGACGGCCACAUUGGGACUGAGAUACGGCCCAGACUCCUACGGGAGGCAGCAGUGGGGAAUAUUGCACAAUGGGCGGAAGCCUGAUGCAGCGACGCCGCGUGGGGGAUGACGGCCUUCGGGUUGUAAACUCCUUUCGACCGCGAGGAACCCACCUGGUUGGAAGGGUGGUGACGGUAGUGGUAGAAGAAGCACCGGCUAACUACGUG